CAAAGUGUUGAGUGCAGUUCAGGGCUGCUUUCCUGUUCUGUUAAUUAAACAUUGAAACAUUGAAACUGGCUGAGGGAAAUGACUAAAUGGAAAGUGUUACUCUUUUCAUAUACUUCUAGCCUACAUAA